AGUGAACGCUGGCGGCGUGCUUAACACAUGCAAGUCGAACGAGAAACGGAUUUAGCUUGCUAAAUUGCAGUCUAAGUGGCGCACGGGUGAGUAAUGUAUAGGUAACAUGCCUUCUACUAGGGGAUAACAGUUGGAAACGACUGCUAAUACCCUAUAUUCCUUAUUAGCACAAGUGUGUAAGGGAAAGAUUCAUUGGUAGAAGAUUGGCCUAUAUCGUAUCAGCUAGUUGGUAGUGUAAUGGACUACCAAGGCUAUGACGCAUAACUGGUUUGAGAGGAUGAUCAGUCACACUGGAACUGAGACACGGUCCAGACUCCUACGGGAGGCAGCAGUGGGGAAUAUUGCACAAUGGGCGAAAGCCUGAUGCAGCAACGCCGCGUGGAGGAUGACACAUUUCGGUGCGUAAACUCCUUUUAUAUGGGAAGAUAAUGACGGUACCAUAUGAAUAAGCACCGGCUAACUCCGU
rnacentral:rRNA from 1 species